GGAAAACAAAGUGUCCUGUGAAUGUCAGUUAUUGAUGCAUGGUGUACGGCAAACACCAUUUUUUUUUCUUCCUGUUUUUCUUUGUCUUUUAGUUUCUGUUUCUCUAACCUUCACCCCUUUACCUUUUCAAUGGAACUUUGCUAUUUCCUAUUUCCUAUUCAGAUCUUCCUCUUUUCUCAAAUCUGGAAGGGAGCAGCUUGCUACUGUUCAAUCUGCGGAGAAGAUGGGUCUCAAGAGACUAUUCCCUGCUAAUUUGGCGACCUCUCCUGAAUCAGCUUCAGAUGGCACUGUGUGUGAAGAGUGAAUGAUUUCCUGAUCGUUGAUUACCAGAAUUGGACUUGAUUCCCAGCAGCCUUGUAAGAUCUCAUCUGUUGGUGAAUAUUGGUAGCAGUGAUGAAGGGAUGAUUCAACAACAAAAGUUCUGGAGAGAAAAUAGACAUCUCCCUCCUCAUUCAACACCUUCAGUCCUAUGGCCAUAAUCCUCCCAGUUAGAAGGCAUUUGGGGAAAUAAGGAACAUAAUUAGCAUUUACCUAUACAGAAUCACAACUAAGUGAUUGCUUACUACUUUCUCUCUUUUUAUGCCUUCCUAUUUCUUUCCCUAGUGGGUUCAGCACGGGAAAAGUCUGGCUUUGUAUCAUCCCAGAGUCAUGGAGCAGAUUUCCAUACUGACCUCAAAGACCAUCUGAUGAAAACAUGAUCCCUUUUGUUCUAUAGGGAUAUAUAAAAACAUUAUAAAUCAGCAUCUUAUUUGUUCAUUUAUAUCUUCCAUUUCUGUGAUGUUUGACAGUUGUUUUGUCGAUGGCAACUACCAUAUGUUAAAAAUGAGCUUCUGGAAUGCAAUUCUGGCUUGUGUCCAUCAGAGAAGGAAAUUCUGGAAUGCCCUACAAUUUGUACUUUCCUAGCAAUUCUUGAUUCUUAAAACAUUCUAUGAAUGCUCUCAUUGGAGAAAAAGUUAUAACAAAAUCCACUUCUUUUAAGCAAUCACAAAAAUUAGGUGUCUGAAUGUACAAGGUAUCGAUGUUUGGGCAAAAUUGAAAUUAUUGUGCUUGUUUCAUGGGAAAAGCUUAGGGGAGUUUAUUGUCCUAAGUUGGGUUUCCUGAAAACAGACUCACAGCCUUUGAGGCAGAGAUUUGCAUGCUGGCAGUUUGUUUGGGAAUGAACUUGAGAAUAUUUGUAAGGAAGAGAAGGAUGCAGGAAGAAGCAGAGGGAGAAGUUGUACCGCAAUGCAGUUGCAAUGGAGGACUCAGCCAAUCUUACUGGGAGCUCUGGAGCUGCAAUGGGCCUUCAGAAUUGUCACAAAUUGAGGCAAGGGGCUGCGCCUUUGUAUCCCUGCAUGAAUAAAUUAUGAGACUCAGGCCACCUCUGGGGAGGGGCAAGGCUGCUUCCUUUGGCAGAGGGCAGUUCUCAGAAAGGAUCACAAUUGUGAACUUUUAGCAACCAAUCCUCUCUGCUUCUGGGAGAAUGAGUGCCUCAGUCAUGAAUUGGUUACACCACAUUCCCACUGUUUUGUAUCUUCACAAAAUGUGUGCAUGUUUCAAAGAGGGAAUCAUCGGACCAUCCUUUUAGUUAGAAUUGUACUGGGUUUUGACAGUCCUUAAACUCAGGUGCACAAGAAAUAUCAUAUUAUGUAUGAUAUUACCUAAGUUCAACUUCAAGUCCCCAUCCUGCCGGGAUACAUUGGAAAUGUAACUUCAGUCAUGCUCAGGACUUCUUUUCUAACUUGGGCUAUUUCUAGGUUCCAGGGUCUUAAGCAGGACCAAGUCUUGGGGGCAGGGUAAAGAAGUAGGAAAUGGUUACUUAUAGCAUGGCCAUUCUGGUUGCCCCUGAGAAGACCACUGACCCCUUUUGCUUUGUCCCUUCAAGGCCAUGCUUGGGAAACACCUAUACCUAUGGUGCUACUUCCUUAGUCAUUUUUUUUCUGGACGUUUGUCACCUACAACAUUUAUAAGCCACUUCUUUUUCCUGCAAACGCCAAUCUCCUUGAAUUUUCAGCAACCAAAAUAAAAUUCUUCUUGGCUAGAGGCAGACAGGACUGGGUCCUCAAACCUUCCUUGAAGGAAAUACUUGGCAGCCUUCCUUUCUCAGGAAUCCAAUAAAGAAAGAAAAACAAAACAGGUAAGUUCUAUAUUAAAAGGGCCUGAAGAUUAAUUUUUUGCUAAAUCACUUCAAGGGUUCUUACUUGCUACAUAGUCUGGUUACAAGAAAAAAGUAACAUUUUUCAAUAGUCUCCGUUAAUUGGGUCUUAUAUACAAGACAAUUUCAAGAACAGUUGUCCAAAAUGACUCUUAAGUUGAAAGGUUGCCUCUUUGAGGCUAAGUUGGAAUAUAAACACAUUGAAACAUUUUCUUUUAAAUGUAUCCAAAUUUUAGGCUAUUUCUCUCCAAACUAGCCUGUGUAUUGUAAUGAUUUCUGUUAGCAAGCAUUUUGAACUUAAAACACUAUUUCUGACACACCAGCGAUGUAAUCAGCUACAGGCAGCCCCAAUCUUUGAAUGUGUUGCUUGCCAAAAAAUUGUUUGCACAUCUGUUUUUAUUAGACUAUAUGUUCUAAAUGUCACAAAACAAUAGCAUAAAUUGUGUGUGUGAUGUCUUUCUGUGUGUGUAAAGACUCUGAGCUCUAUAUGCCAGGGAUGUUUCCUUUCUCCCACUCUUUCUCCCUUAUCAUAGUAUUUAAUAUUUACAUAAGGAAACUAAUAUGUGCUCAAUGCAGAAAAACUCAGGAAACAAAGGAAAUAAAUUUUAAUCACCCAUAAUCUCAUCACUGAUAACAUUAGGUAUAUAACCUAGUAUUUUUUCUAAGCUUGAGAAUACAUACUUUUUACAUUUUUUAAACUUUUAUUUUAGGUUCAGGGGUACAUGUGCAUGUUUGUUAUAUAGAUAAACUCAUGUCACAAGGGUUUGUAGUACAGAUGAUUUUAUCACCCCAGUACUAAGCCUACAACCCAUUAGUUAUUUUUUCUGAUCCUCUCCUUUCACCCACCCUCCACCCUGCAGUAAGCCCCAGUGUGUUGUUCUCCUCUAUGUGUCCAUGUAUUCUCAUCAUUUAGCUCCCACGUAUAAGUGAGAACAUGUGGUAUUUGGUUUUCUGCUUCUGCGUUAGUUAGCUAAAAAUAAGACCUCCAGUUCCAACCAUGCCCAUGCAAAGGACAUGAUCUCAUUCUUUUUUAUGUCUCCAUAGUAGGGAA
rnacentral:lncRNA from 1 species